rnacentral:rRNA from 1 species
UACGUAGGGCGCAAGCGUUGUCCGGAAUUAUUGGGCGUAAAGAGCUCGUAGGCGGCUUGUCACGUCGGUUGUGAAAGCCCGGGGCUUAACCCCGGGUCUGCAGUCGAUACGGGCAGGCUAGAGUCCGGAAGAGGCGAGUGGAAUUCCUGGUGUAGCGGUGGAAUGCGCAGAUAUCAGGAGGAACACCGAUGGCGAAGGCAGCUCGCUGGGACGGUACUGACGCUAAGGCGCGAAAGCGUGGGGAGCGAACAGG